rnacentral:rRNA from 1 species
UGGGGAAUCUUGGACAAUGGGCGCAAGCCUGAUCCAGCCAUGCCGCGUGAGUGAAGAAGGCCUUCGGGUUGUAAAGCUCUUUUGCCAGGGACGAUAAUGACGGUACCUGGAGAAUAAGCCCCGGCAAACUUCGUGCCAGCAGCCGCGGUAAUACGAAGGGGGCUAGCGUUGUUCGGAAUUACUGGGCGUAAAGCGCACGUAGGCGGGUUGUUAAGUCAGGGGUGAAAUCCCGGAGCUCAACUCCGGAACUGCCCUUGAUACUGGCAACCUGGAGUUCGGAAGAGGUGAGUGGAAUUCCCAGUGUAGAGGUGAAAUUCGUAGAUAUUGGGAAGAACACCAGUGGCGAAGGCGGCUCACUGGUCCGAUACUGACGCUGAGGUGCGAAAGCGUGGGGAGCAAACA